UUCGUAACACUCCCGAAAUUCCUCGAUUCCUCGUGUUAUCGGUGUGAAUUCCUUUCCGACCCAAAGCGUUCCGCACGGGGGCACCAGACCAAUUUAAAUCAGUACCUCACAUCUGGACCUGAACUACAACAGACCUUGUCUACAAAACAAGCACACUGAGAUUUUCAAUACUCCAGUAAGCUAUGAGAGAAGAUCUUUUUGAUCCAUCUGUAACACUAUGAAGAUUUAACACCGUGGCAUCUAACCACUCCUCGUGUCAGGCUGAAUGAAGGUCUGGAUGUGAAAGAAGCCCCAUGCCUACACCUACCAGAGACAAGGUGUUCUAGUUUCUUCCACUGCAGGUGACAAUUUAAUCCACUACAGGUUGUUCAUUUAAUUCUAAGUGAUUGUCCAAAGAAUUCUAUGUCCCAGAAGUGCUAUUCCACUACUCAGUGUGGAUUUGUGUGGGAGAGGCUGUAGGUACCUCUGCCCUUUUGCUAGUUCCACAUAGCACAAAGCAUCCUCUUCCUCAUACGGCAUGGGAAGCUCCAGGAAAACCCUUCUGCCUCCACACUGCACUACAUCCAGACUGCACCCAGUCUUGUUAUUUUGCUGUGGAAUGAUUUCUUGCUAUAAGACAGCUCCCUAAAACAGUCAUCUGGAAUAACUCAAGAUUCAUCCAUUCAGCUGAAAAGGACGGUGCCAGCACAUAUUGGCAAAGAAGCUGCUUCUCUGCGCUCACAGGGCAUUACAGAUGCUUCCACAGCAGCAGCUCACAAAGUGUAUUUAUUUUAAAUAUAUGCGUGUGUCUCGUUAGUCCUGGACUGAGAAGAUCUGUCUGGAAAACAGAAACUGUACAGAACAAAGUGAAUGUCCAAGCAGUGCCAGGAUAACAUGCCACAGCCACAGUAACCAUCACUAGGGCUAAUGUAAAAACGUUCUUAGUGCAGCCUUUUAGGUGGAAAUCUGUUUACAUUUGGGAAGCCUUCGUGGCACUCAUUCUAUCUCUAUGCUCUCUGCUGAGCAGCCUGCAUGAGUGGUGUGAUAUGAGCUAUAAAAGUAACGUUCAGUACUAGGCCUACCAUCCAGGGUGCCAAUUAACAGACUUCGCAUGCUGCUGGCAUGUUUCCUCAGGAUGGAAAUCAUCAGUACAUUUUAUGUAGGGCUCAGAUUUCCAUCAGUACCAGCACUGUCUUUUAAUCAUGUAGUCUAACGCAAAUCAAUCGCUAAUAGACAAAAUGUCUUAUCUAUUUGUAAUGCUUUAGCUAGCAUCUUCUAUUUCUUCCAUGUGACCUUGUAAAAUCUAUAUUUAAAAGUAUUCUAUAUUCUAUAUCUAUAAGUAUUAUAUUCAAUAUAUUUUUGCUCAGUACGUUCCUGCCAUUUGUAUGCAUAGAAAUUUCGGAGAUGCUGAUGUGACAGACAACAGUGCGUUCUUCUGUUGCACCUUUCCCAUCUUCAGGAUGUGGAAAAACCUCCAGAGUGCUGGCAAAGAUAUUCAGUACUGUCUCUGUUUCAAAUCCUGUUUCUUUAUCGCUACCUAGACUCUAGAAAAAGCUACCACAUAAAUAUAUCACCACUAAAACCGAUGGAAAGGUAAAAGUGUAAGGUUGGCAUUGAACAACUGACAGUCAAUGGAAGAGUAGCCUAAUACUCUUGACAAUUCACUGCCCCCCAGCUGCUUGUCCCAGACACUGGUAGCUCUUUCAGCUGAGUUCAGCACCCAGCACUGCUCUGCAGGACAGUUGUUGUUUUACUCCAAUGUUAGUUCUUCCAUCAAAUUGGAGAUACUUUUUUGUCCAGCUACUCAAUAUAGGCAAGCAGGGAUCACUGAUGGUAAAUUCUUGUUUGUGUAAUGUAUAUGCUCACAAUCAGUAGACCAAAUCCCAACCUAAAACAUGGUUUUGAUUUCCUCUUUACCUUUUCUAGUGAUCUUCUUUAGAAGUGAUAAAGAGAAUCUUAGCACUGUUCGAGAACGUCAAGGCAUACCUUUUGUGAACUUCUCCAACACGUCUUCAAACUAUAUUUCAUCUGACCCAGAUGUGACUACAGCUCUGUUAGUAAAUGUAUAAACAGCAUUCCAGAAUUCCAAAAGAAUGGGUGCUUGCAAUUGCAAGGCAGGAAUAAAUGUUUCUAAUAAAUCUUUCAAGUUUAUGUGAGAACACAAAAUGUAAUAAUACUAAAGGAGGCAGUGAAAAAAUUGUGCUGGCAAUCUGAGGAUUGAUAGUCUGGACUUUGUAUUCUGCAUAUGGCUUUCCUGGCUGGAAUAACUGAAGCAGAAGAAAGCUGGAGUACAAAAUGCAAAGUUCAGAAGUUGACCAGCACUGCUGAAUUGUAAUGCUGUAGUACACCAAUUAAGCAGUAAAGUUGUAACCAUAGUACUGAUGUACAUGUAACUGUGCACUGGGACCAUUGCUACUCUUAUCCGUAACAAGGCUGAUUCUUAAAAUAAGUGAGGCACAUCAUCCUGCUCGUUUCUCCUUUUCUUCUUCACCCAUUUACCUAGGGCAUAACACAUGUCAUUCCAACAGACACCAGUGGAAAGAGCAGACAUUCAGCAUGAAUGAGAUGUACAUCUCACCAGCAUUAGUAAUGGGAAAUAAUGGCCUUCUGUCUCCUGGCAACUAUCCUUUUCAGUAUAGCCCAGUAUGCUGUUUGCUUUAUUCAAAAUGGGAAUGCAUUGUUGGUUCAUAUUCAGCCUGGUAUCUGCUGUAAACCCCAGGCACUAUUUAGUGAAGCUGCUUCUCAGCCAGGUGCUUCCUAGUCUGUACUCCCACUUCUCCCAAUUCAAAAUGUUUUUACUUGUCUAAGGACAGGUUUCCAUGCAUGGCAGUGCACUGCACUACUUCAUGAAUCUCAGUGGAAACAUGGCUGUAAAUACAAGAGGUCUGUGACUGGGACUUUCCUCUUCAAAAGCAAAGAACACCAUUAAAUAUCUUUUUAAUGACAGUGAUUGGUACUUCUCUGUAUUUAUCAAGUUUGCCACUUUGUUAGGUGUCCCAAAGGCUCAUUCCAGCACCCCUGCAUGGGAGUACCUUUAUUUACAGGCCAGCUGGGCUUCCAUAAACCUCACUGGCAAAUAUUAUUUCCACAUACUUUGAAUACUUGGUAUCCUAAGGAUUUCAGCAGCCACCAAAAACUGCCUGACUACUCUGUCACUUACCAAGCACUGGAAAGGUAUCUCCGAAACCUAACACUGUUUGUCUGAAGCACUACUUGGAGGCCUGUAAUGCACACUCAGUGUACUUACUCAACUUCUAAAAGGAAACGUCUGCCAAAUUAAGGGUACAGUAUUCAACACUUCAAAAACAUUCAAAUGUGUGGUUUUUUUCCUGAAAAAGGCAUCUCCUUGCCAAAGACAGUUGUGCAGACAGUGUUAAAGUGCAUACUAUUUCCAACCACUGCAAAGUGCAGCUGCUGGCCAAAUUCUGAUACAUUAAAGGAGGUUAUAAACAGUACAUGUUUACAGAACAUCUGCUUUCAUCUUUUAUUUUUUUCCCUCUUCUGGACAAUCUCAUAGGGCUGAUGAGCAGAUAUUUAAUGCAAACACUCUACUGCAGAAACAAAUAGAUAUUAACAAUGCACAAAGGUGUUUCAAAACAACUAAUUUCUUGAGAGUAUAUAGGAUAUUAAAAGGCAAAAUCUCUUCAGGUUUUACUUCAAUACCUCACUAUGACUGAUAUCCACGUGGAUGAUAUUUUACUUUUGACCAACAAGAAAGAAUUCAGGCCCGCAAAAGAGUCAAAGCAGCAGAAAGGAAUUUCUGCCAGUUGUUCCUGACCAACACUUGUUUGGGAAAGAAAGAACAAAGUUCUCACCUCCACGAAGCAGGCUGCACAAAGCAUUUCUCUGCACCAUGAAUCCUGUGUAGUACAGUGAUGGCCAAGCAGCCUCCAUGUCUCAGGCAUCCUGUUACGGACUGGCGACAUGGAUCUAAUGAAGACAUGAAACCUGCAGUAACAAACUCAUCCAAAUUUAGCAGCCAGCAAUCCACAAGGUACUCACUUAAUACAGUGCCUGUAUCACAAAUAAGGAUCUCUUCUACACAUAAUAUGGCUGUAUUUUCCUUCUUGCCUGAAGUCUAGCUACAAGGGUUAUGUCAGCUCAUCAUUUUUGCCAACAUCCAGAACUUGAAGUCGGCCCUCUGAUGGAAAUGAAAUGUGUUACUGUACAGGAAAGCGGGUCACUUCCAUGAAGUAUAAGGAGAGGGCUAGGGCUUGACCCCACAUAAACUACUAGAAGUGAGUAGGAGUAAGGAAGUAAUGUAUUAAUUGCAGCACUACAAAGGCAAGAUGUCAAUCUCAAUUUUGCCGUUGUUCCCAUUUUUUACCAUCCUGCCUACCUUCCUUCCUCCCUCUCAGCCUAAAGACUCUACUAUUCAGCUGACAUACAACAGAUGGACCAGCAACAAAACAGUGUUUUCCCAGUGGGUGAUUUCAGCAGAGAUACUUACUUGGUUGGUGCUGUUUCUUCUCCCUUUUGCCUUGAGCAAUGUUAGUGUCACAUGGAGUUCAAUCAAACUGCUUCAGAUGCUUCAGCUACCAAUGAAAGAUCAUGCUACAUGAGUUUAUAUAUAACUGAUGCGAACAAAAUGAAGAAACAGUCAAUGAGCAGUGCAGUUCUCAUACAACUCCUAGACAUUGCUGUUGAAUUGUGUACUAACCUGCUCUUGAUUACUGGACAGGCCACUUACCUGCUGUUCUCUUCUAAAAUGGAUGAGAGAAAAAGUAAUUUCUAUCAAAGCUUCUGAAAAGCCCUAACAGGACUUGUUUGAAGCCCUUCCACAUUGUGGAGGUGAUAAAGAUGUUAUCCAAGUCAGUGUCUACCAUUCCUUUCUAGUACAGUACUGUUGAAGAGCUAUGUGGAGAUUACUUCAGUUACUUCGAGACAUCUGCUAUGGAAAAGCUUUUUUUCCCAUCAAUUAGGAAAUCUGCAAAGGAAAUGUUUUUCUUCACUGUAAAGUCACUCCUCAUCCAUGUGAGCUAACUAAAGGUAACUAACCCUGACUCCACAUUGGUAAAGGUGGACUAUCACUCAAGUUUGCAAACAGGAAUCUGAUAAAGUUUACAGAAUACAUUAGAAAGUCCAAACACUAAGAACCUUUUUCUCAGAGACUGAAAGAAAAUAUC